ensembl:lncRNA
AAACAUAUUUCCUCCAGCUCUAUUAUUUCAAGGCUAUUAAAAAUAAUUGCCUCCUAAAUUCAUAAACAUUUUAUGCAAUUCAUCUUUUUUUUUCAAGCAAUCAAGUCCUCAAUUACCUCCACCCAUCAAAUCUCUAUUUUAUAACAGGCAACUGACAUUUGAUGGUAAAUGGGAAAAAGCACAUGGGCACUGUGGUGAUUUGAAUGCUGUGACACCAACUUGCCCCCUAUUGUUGGAAAUGAGCAGGCAAUCACGUUGUUCAUCAGAUGACUCCUAAUGCAGUUAAAGUAUUCAGCUAUAAUUUCUCCCUGCAUUUAUAAUUACUGUCAAAGACCACACACCUCAGUGAGCAGAUUAAAGCUAUAAAUUAUUUAGUGCCUUUCUUCGCCGAUGGAUCUCUGAUUUGUCUGUGGGGCCAUUAUGUUUUAAAGGAGCAACUUACUUCUUUUUUUUUUUUUUUUUGAAGCAAGCAUUGUCCUUAAGCUGCAGCAGAAUGCUCUGCAGAGAAACAAUGAGAAUACUAUUGGGGUUUUUUUUGUUCAUUAAAGCGAGGCUGUGCAUUUUGCAGCACAUACUUUUUCCAUUUUUAUCUCAAAUGCACGUUGAUUUGCCGUAAUUCUAUCCACAGCAGUUAUUCAGAGCAUAUUUAGUCUACAAGUGCAUUUUGAAGAAUCAGCACAACCUAGUAGAGACUUACCCAAGGCUAACUAAAGAAAAAUGCUGUCAUCAGUGCAGCCACAGAAGGAAAUUAGUUGUCUCUGGCUAUAAUUUGCCCUAAUAAGUCAAAGUCAAUGUGGGAUUUAUUGUUGGUACACAAAAAGCUCGUAUGGAUGUGCAUUUUUUAAGGUUAAUAAGAUUCUUAUCGUGAAAUAAUUUAAAGGUGCAAAUCAAAAUACAUAUCCGCUGUUUUCAAAUACACAUUAUUCUUUCUAAUGCGUGAUUUAUUAAAUACCUACAUUCUUUAGGUACCAUAAUCAUCAUAAUUAGGUGAAAUAACCCCAUUAUUCUUUGGGUGCUUUAUAUUCAUUUUGAGUGUUUGCAUACAUUAACGCUGUUAAUUGCAUUCUACAUGCAACAUGUCAUGGCUAAUUACGGAACACAGAC